rnacentral:rRNA from 1 species
AGAGUUUGAUCCUGGCUCAGGAUGAACGCUAGCGGCAGGCCUAACACAUGCAAGUCGAGGGGCAUCACGGAAGUUGGUAACAACUUUUGGUGGCGACCGGCGGACGGGUGCGUAACGCGUAUGCAACCUACCUUAAACAGGGGGAUAAUUCGGAGAAAUCUGGUCUAAUACCCCAUAAUAUUUGAAACGGCAUCGUUUCGAGUUGAAAACUCCGGUGGUUUAAGAUGGGCAUGCGUUGUAUUAGUUAGUUGGUGAGGUAACGGCUCACCAAGGCUACGAUACAUAGGGGGACUGAGAGGUUAACCCCCCACACUGGAACUGAGACACGGACGGGAGGCAGCAGUGAGGAAUAUUGGUCAAUGGGGGCAACCCUGAACCAGCCAUGCCGCGUGCAGGAAGACGGCUCUAUGAGUUGUAAACUGCUUUUUUACGGGAAUAAAUUCAGGUACGUGUACCUGUUUGAAUGUACUGUAUGAAUAAGGAUCGGCUAACUCCGUGCCAGCAGCCGCGGUAAUACGGAGGAUCCAAGCGUUAUCCGGAUUUAUUGGGUUUAAAGGGUGCGUAGGCGGAAGUAUAAGUUAUAGGUGAAAUCUCGGUGCUCAACACCGAAACUGCCUGUGAUACUGUAUUUCUAGAGAUUGCGUGCUGUGGGCGGAAUGUAUGGUGUAGCGGUGAAAUGCUUAGAGAUCAUACAGAACACCGAUUGCGAAGGCAGCUCACAAAAGCAAAUCUGACGCUGAGGCACGAAAGCGUGGGGAUCAAACAGGAUUAGAUACCCUGGUAGUCCACGCAGUAAACGAUGAUAACUCGUUGUCGGCGAUACAAUGUCGGUGACUAAGCGAAAGCGAUAAGUUAUCCACCUGGGGAGUACGUUCGCAAGAAUGAAACUCAAAGGAAUUGACGGGGGCCCGCACAAGCGGAGGAACAUGUG